rnacentral:rRNA from 1 species
CCUACGGGAGGCAGCAGUGAGGAAUAUUGGUCAAUGGACGCAAGUCUGAACCAGCCAAGCCGCGUGCAGGAUGACGGCCCUAUGAGUUGUAAACCGCUUUUGUAGGAGGGCAAACCCCGAUACGUGUACCGUGUUGAAAGUACCCUACGAAUAAGGAUCGGCUAACUCCGUGCCAGCAGCCGCGGUAAUACGGAGGAUCCGAGCGUUAUCCGGAUUUAUUGGGGUUAAAGGGUGCGUAGGCGGGUUAGUAAGUCCGGGGUGAAAUGUCGGGGCUCAACCCCGAAACUGCCUCUAAUACUGGUGGACUAGAGAGUGGGUGCGGUAGGCGGAAUGUGUGGUGUAGCGGUGAAAUGCUUAGAGAUUAUGCAGAACCCCGAUUGCGAAGGCAGCUUACCGGGCUAUAACUGACGUUGAGGCACGAAAGCGUGGGUAUCGAACAGGAUUAGAUACCCUGGUAGUC